rnacentral:rRNA from 1 species
GACGAACGCUGGCGGCGUGCUUAACUCAUGCAAGUCGAACGAAGUGGCGAACGUGUGAGUAAUACGUGGGUACCCUGCCCUACUUUUUGGGAUAAGCCUUGGAAACGGGGUCUAAUACUGAACAAAGGGGGAUGGGCUCGCGGCCUAUCAGCUUGUGGGUUGGGUGUGGGCCUACCAAGGCGGUGACGGGGACCCGGCCUGAGAGGGUGACCUGCAACAGUGGGAUUGGGAUACGGCCGAGAGUCCGACGGGAGGCAGCAGGGGUGGUUAUUGCACAAUGGGCGAAAGCGGGAUGCAGCGACGCCGCGUGGGGGAUGAAGGCUUUCGGGUUGUAAACCUCUUUCGAUAUCGAACGGGUGGGUGGAGAAGAAGCGCCGGCUAACUACGUGCCAGCAGCCGCGGUAAUUC